AUGGGGACAACGCUUGGGGAAAGAAUCAGGGGCAAAAAUAAACCUCAACCAUCACCACCCUGGGGGUCUUUGGGGAGCCAGGACAGGUCUGUAAGUAUUUUUCCCCCCUUCCCCAGCCUAACCAGCUCAGCCCAUCCCAGGAAGGGGCAAGCCCUGGUGGCUUUAUCUCCUCAAAAGCAAGAGAUAAUGUUGGGAAAGGGCAAAAGGAGCUCAGGUGUGGGGGGCAGAGCCCUGCCAAGGCGCCCUCCAGGGUGCCACCGACCGCGCGUGUUCCCCCCUCGCCCCUGCACCUCCUGCUGCUGCCUCAUGCAGGGGAAACCCCAGCACCCCUGGAAAAGCCGAGGAAGCUCAGGGUGCUGCCGGGGGUGGGAGGGAAAAAGCAAGCGAGGGGGAAGCCCGCGGGGCUGGAACAUCUGCGUGGCCGCCUUCCGCCCCGGCGUCACCCGUGUGUCAGCGAGGAACAAAACAAGCCCGGAGCGGGGAGCUGCCGUCAGCCCGCAGCUCAUGAAUGGGCCUAAGAAUAGAUUUCCUGUUUACCCAGCGACAAAUCGCUUCUGGGGCAGAGGGCACCUGCUUGCUAUUUUUUGCCAAGCCCCUGCCCAGCUUGCUCCCCGGCCCGCUGGCCUCUGGCCAGCCCCGAGCUGCCCCCUGCGCUGCUGCAGCAUCCACGUGCGGCAGGGGAAAGGGCCCGCAGAGGCUGCUGAGGGCUGGAGGAGCAGGGCAGAGACACGGUCACAGCCGUGCCACCAGCAUCGCACCGUCCCCGAGCAUGGCUGCAGGGUGAAACCCUGCAAAAAAAAUGUGGGCCAUGAGCGCCAGGGAGGCACGGAGCCAGCUCCUGCCCCCGGCACCGAGCGUCCCCCGGGUGCUGGGGGGGCCAAGCAGGGCAGGAUGAAGCCCCCAGGAUCACCAAGGAGCACUUCCAGAGGUGCACGGCUGCCUGGACACGGAUCCCUUGUCCUGCUGGGGUGCAGCAAUCACUCGGCUGCCCUGAGCACCUCCAAAACAGGCUGGGAAACCCAGUGCACGGGGCACCUUGUGAUUCCCCACCGUGUUUUCCCAUAA
rnacentral:lncRNA from 1 species